GACGAACGCUGGCGGCGUGCUUAACACAUGCAAGUCGAACGGAAAGGCCCUGCUUUUGUGGGGUGCUCGAGUGGCGAACGGGUGAGUAACACGUGAGUAACCUGCCCUUGACUUUGGGAUAACUUCAGAAAACUGGGGCUAAAACCGGAUAGGGGCUCCUGCGGCUUGGGGGGGGUGGGAAGGUUUCGGCGGUUGGGGAUGGAUUCCCGGCUUUCCAGCUGGUGGGUGGGGUGGUGGCUUACCAAGGCUUUGCCGGGUAGCCGGCCUGAGAGGGUGACCGGCCACAUUGGGACUGAGAUACGGCCCAGACUCCUACGGGAGGCAGCAGUGGGGAAUAUUGCACAAUGGGCGGAAGCCUGAUGCAGCAACGCCGCGUGCGGGAUGACGGCCUUCGGGUUGUAAACCGCUUUCGCCUGUGACGAAGCGUGAGUGACGGUAAUGGGUAAAGAAGCACCGGCUAACUACGUG
rnacentral:rRNA from 1 species